AUACGGAGGGUGCAAGCGUUAAUCGGAAUUACUGGGCGUAAAGAGUACGUAGGUGGUUUAUUAAGUCAGAUGUGAAAGCCCCGGGCUCAACCUGGGAACUGCAUUUGAAACUAGUAGACUAGAGUAUGGUAGAGGGGGGUAGAAUUUCUAGUGUAGCGGUGAAAUGCGUAGAUAUUAGAAGGAAUACCAGUGGCGAAGGCGGCCCCCUGGACCAAUACUGACACUGAGGUACGAAAGCGUGGGUGGCGAACAGGAUUAGAUACCCCGGUAGUCC
rnacentral:rRNA from 1 species